CACCUCACAAGUGUCAUAGAAGUUUGC
rnacentral:piRNA from 1 species